GGGGAACAGUCUUGGGAUUCUAGAAGACUUGGCAUGCACCCAAUCUGUCUGGUAAAAGAUCUGAAGAGGUAGUGAGACAGGGCGCCACGAGAAAAGGAGGAUUUCAGAAAAAUACAAGGAAUGAGCAGGAGGGGCAAUGAACAUAUAAAAAAAAAGAUCAAAGAGAAAAGGGUACUGAGAAACACCAAGGAGACCCCCCCCCCCCAAAAAAUGAGUAGAAGAUGGCACAGAAAGCCAAGGAUCAAAUAUAAAGCAAUGUAGGUUGUAUUAUUAUUUUCCAACAAUUGGAAUGAUAGUUAACUUAAUGGGUCAACCUUAUUAGGCCAUUAGUCCAAUAUAGACAGUUCAAUUUCCAAUAAUGUAUGGAUUUUUAUCUUUACGGUAGAUGAAUUUUGAUAUUCCUAUGAUAGCGAUAAUCACUUUGCUAUCCUUUCAUGCUUUGGGGCAGUGCCAAACACCUGCUGUCACGUGAUCACAAAGGAUCCCUGUGAUGGUUUGUAUAUUGCACCACGGAAUGGCACCAUUUGGAGGUGUGGCCUUGUUGGAAUAGGUGUGACCUGGUUGGAGUAGGUGUGUCACUGUGGGCUUAAUACCCUCACCCUAGUUGCCUGGAAGUCAGUCUUCCACUAGCAGCCUUUGGAUGAAGAUGUAGAACUCUCAGCUCUGCCUGUGCCAUGCCUGCCUGGAUGCUGCCAUGCUCCCACUUUGAUGAACUCUGAACCUGUAAG
rnacentral:lncRNA from 1 species